UUUUAUAAGAAUAUGAUGUUGGUUCAGAUUAAGCGCUAAAUAAGGACAUGACACAUGCGAAUCAUACGUUUAUUAUUGAUAAAAUAAUAAAUAUGUGGUGUAAACGUGAGUAAUUUUAUUAGGAAUUAAUGAACUAUAGAAUAAGCUAAAUACUUAAUAUAUUAUUAUAUAAAAAUAAUUUAUAUAAUAAAAAGGAUAUAUAUAUAAUAUAUAUUUAUCUAUAGUCAAGCCAAUAAUGGUUUAGGUAGUAGGUUUAUUAAGAGUUAAACCUAGCCAACGAUCCAUAAUCGAUAAUGAAAGUUAGAACGAUCACGUUGACUCUGAAAUAUAGUCAAUAUCUAUAAGAUACAGCAGUGAGGAAUAUUGGACAAUGAUCGAGAGAUUGAUCCAGUUACUUAUUAGGAUGAUAUAUAAAAAUAUUUUAUUUUAUUUAUAAAUAUUAAAUAUUUAUAAUAAUAAUAAUAAUAUAUAUAUAUAUAUAAAUUGAUUAAAAAUAAAAUCCAUAAAUAAUUAAAAUAAUGAUAUUAAUUACCAUAUAUAUUUUUAUAUGGAUAUAUAUAUUAAUAAUAAAAUUAAUUUAUUAUUAUUAAUAAUAUAUUUUAAUAGUCCUGACUAAUAUUUGUGCCAGCAGUCGCGGUAACACAAAGAGGGCGAGCGUUAAUCAUAAUGGUUUAAAGGAUCCGUAGAAUGAAUUAUAUAUUAUAAUUUAGAGUUAAUAAAAUUAAUUAAAGAAUUAUAAUAGUAAAGAUGAAAUAAUAAUAAUAAUUAUAAGACUAAUAUAUGUGAAAAUAUUAAUUAAAUAUUAACUGACAUUGAGGGAUUAAAACUAGAGUAGCGAAACGGAUUCGAUACCCGUGUAGUUCUAGUAGUAAACUAUGAAUACAAUUAUUUAUAAUAUAUAUUAUAUAUAAAUAAUAAAUGAAAAUGAAAGUAUUCCACCUGAAGAGUACGUUAGCAAUAAUGAAACUCAAAACAAUAGACGGUUACAGACUUAAGCAGUGGAGCAUGUUAUUUAAUUCGAUAAUCCACGACUAACCUUACCAUAUUUUGAAUAUUAUAAUAAUUAUUAUAAUUAUUAUAUUACAGGCGUUACAUUGUUGUCUUUAGUUCGUGCUGCAAAGUUUUAGAUUAAGUUCAUAAACGAACAAAACUCCAUAUAUAUAAUUUUAAUUAUAUAUAAUUUUAUAUUAUUUAUUAAUAUAAAGAAAGGAAUUAAGACAAAUCAUAAUGAUCCUUAUAAUAUGGGUAAUAGACGUGCUAUAAUAAAAUGAUAAUAAAAUUAUAUAAAAUAUAUUUAAUUAUAUUUAAUUAAUAAUAUAAAACAUUUUAAUUUUUAAUAUAUUUUUUUAUUAUAUAUUAAUAUGAAUUAUAAUCUGAAAUUCGAUUAUAUGAAAAAAGAAUUGCUAGUAAUACGUAAAUUAGUAUGUUACGGUGAAUAUUCUAACUGUUUCGCACUAAUCACUCAUCACGCGUUGAAACAUAUUAUUAUCUUAUUAUUUAUAUAAUAUUUUUUAAUAAAUAUUAAUAAUUAUUAAUUUAUAUUUAUUUAUAUCAGAAAUAAUAUGAAUUAAUGCGAAGUUGAAAUACAGUUACCGUAGGGGAACCUGCGGUGGGCUUAUAAAUAUC
rnacentral:ncRNA from 1 species